CCUCCAUGAUUUUGUCAGGGGCUAAACAUUACCCAAUUUAAGGUAAGCUAAAGAGUAUUCCUGUUACAGAUAGAAAAAAAAAAAAGUUCAUGGGUAGCAGUUCCCAGAAGGUGGGUAUGAAAAGCCUAGCUCUCUCCCUAAUGGAGAAAAGCAAAUCUCACCAUCCAUUAUUCACAGAGACUUUUUGUAGUUCCCUGAAGCAAGGCUGUUUUACCCUGCCCAACUUGGGAAGCAUUCUCCUUGGUUCACGCUAAUGGAAAAUGGAGGAGAAAAUGGUUUAUAGACUAUUCUUGCUGAGACAACCGUCUGGGUGACCCAAAACAAAAAUCAACUAAUCAAUCCCAAGGCUUCCUACACAUUGACUGGAAAUCUACCCCCACAACUUGAUGUGGGAGGGAAACACCCAAGUUCCCAGAAAAUCCCAUUUAUCCAUAAGACCCUUCUCCUCAUUAUUUCAGCCUCCCUAGGGAUAGACACUAAGGUGUUACAGCUCUGGUCCAUUGCAUGAAGAGUUAUCCAGGGCCUGGAAGAUGUUCAUGGUGGCAUCAACUGACCACCUCAGUCAUAAAUGGUCCUGGAAAUCCGACUUGGAUCAGUACUGCCUUCUGAUCAAAACUUAGAUGAUCAGUGAUAUCCAAGGUCCCUAAUAACUACUGGAUUCUCAGAUUCCAGUGUGUGAGCAUGAGACAAUGAAGGCAAAUGGGUAGGACCUGGCACACACACAUCCCAAGCACUGUCACGAAAGGAGGAUUCACACAUAUCAACAUAAAGUCUGAGACCAAAGCAAAGAAAUAGCACCUGAUGUUCUUUUCAACCAAGAUCCCUGCUUAAUUCCAAACAUAUUCUUCAGGCUGGAUGUCGGGCAGCUGAAGGGUGAUCAGUCUUCUGCUGGAAUUAAAGCCUGCUGUGAUGUUAAUGAAGAACCGCCAGUGGGUUUGCUGGAAGGGGGAAAUUUGGAGACAGACACAUACACAGGGAGAUGCCGUGUGAAGACUUGAGUUCUGUUGCAGUGAACCCAGAUCACACCACUGCACUCCAGCCCGGGUGACAGAGCAAGACUCCAUCUCAAAGAAAAAAAGCGAUUAAAAACUUAAACAUAAGACUUCAAACUGUAAAACUACCAGAAGAAAGCAUAGGAAAAAAAUGAUUCUUAAUGUUGGUCUUGAUGUAAGCCAAAAAUAAAACUCUAAGCUUUCCCCCUGACCCCCAACUGACUGAAUGGACUACUCUCUCAGCCAAGGACAUUCCAAAGUAAACCUGAAAAACUAGUUCAGGCCAUGAUGGGAAGAGGGGGUCAGACAUUAUACCCUCCUCCCUUUGGAAUACAAACACAACUGACCAGCAUUAACAUUAAAACAGUGAUCUUAAGACUGACAAAACAGACUCUUGUCAGUAGCAAUAAGAUACUGAAUUCCAACCUGACUCUAGUAUAGCAUCACAUGACAGAUAGCAGGCCCUGAAAGAAAUCAAAGUGUUUUACCCCCAAAUAUAUUUCUUUGACAUAUUUUGAAAUGGCGCUGCAAACUGUUUCUUGCAGGGAAAAUUUACAUUCUGUAGAGAAUCCCCUUCCAUUUCCA
rnacentral:lncRNA from 1 species